rnacentral:rRNA from 1 species
GAUGAACGCUGGCGGCGUGCUUAACACAUGCAAGUCGAACGGUGAAGGCGGAGCUUGCUCUGCUGGAUCAGUGGCGAACGGGUGAGUAACACGUGAGCAAUCUGCCCCUGACUCUGGGAUAAGCGCUGGAAACGGCGUCUAAUACUGGAUACGAGCUGCGAAGGCAUCUUCAGCAGCUGGAAAGAACUUCGGUCGGGGAUGAGCUCGCGGCCUAUCAGCUUGUUGGUGGGGUAACGGCUCACCAAGGCGUUGACGGGUAGCCGGCCUGAGAGGGUGACCGGCCACACUGGGACUGAGACACGGCCCAGACUCCUACGGGAGGCAGCAGUGGGGAAUAUUGCACAAUGGGCGGAAGCCUGAUGCAGCAACGCCGCGUGAGGGACGACGGCCUUCGGGUUGUAAACCUCUUUUAGCAGGGAAGAAGCGAGAGUGACGGUACCUGGAGAAGAAGCGCCGGCUAACUACGUG